AGAGGUUGCUGGGGAGCUUUGGGGAGGGCUGGUCUCUGUCACACUCCUUUCUCUUCCCCUCUGCUAACCAGGUUCCUUCUUAUCCAGAGGAGCCUGGAGGAGCUCAGGAGACCAGACAAUGGCAUCCGCUGUCCUGUCAGCAAGGCCCCAGGUCACCAACACCUCGAUUAUCUUUGCCACCAAUCUGAGGAACUAGGGAGAGGAACAGACCUGAAGCACUUCCAGAGGGUGCAUGGACAGUCCCUGGGCCUUCCUGUUACUAUCUCUCUGCAUAUUGCCUUUGUUCUCCCAUCAGCCCUCUGCAGCCUCAGGGGCUGGGGCUGAGCCCAGUGUAUCUAGCCUCAUAGACAUACCAUUUUAGAGCUAGACCAGGUCUUUGAAUUCCUCCAGGCUAACCUGCUUGUUUUACAAGUGAAAAAACUGAGGCCUGGAGAGAAGUGACUUAGCCCAGGUCACAAGUGGCAGAGGUGAGACUUGAAUGCACAUUUGAAAAACAAAUUUGAAAAAUAAAACCCACAAUACAUAGCUACA
rnacentral:lncRNA from 1 species